CCCUUUGUUCAGGUCUCUUCUGAAGAAAGGCACCAGAGGCUCCAGCUCUGGCCAUAAUGCCCCAGAUGAAGCUUGACAGGAGAACUGGACACAACAGGCCAGAAUAUGCAUUCCAGGAGAGCAGGGAUAUUUGUUUUGUUCCCCGAUGUAUCCCCUGGAUCUAGCACAGGACUGGCAGGAACCCCAGAUUCUUCUCCAUGGUCGGAAUCAUUGCAAAAUAACUGGUAAGUAUUCCUUCACUGCAAAAUAAUCUCCCUAGUCUAGGGGCCCCAAAUGCCUCAGGCUGCUCACAAUGAGCAUUGGACAUGGAGGAUGAUGGCGACGUCUUUAAUUAUGCAAGAGCUGUAACAGGACCCAACCCUGAGCAUCCUGGAAACUCCUUGAAAUGUUCCCCAUAACACUUCUUUGGAGCCUCCCAUCUUCCCCCUGGAAUACACAUGGCCACCAGCCCAUUGUCUUUGUGCCCCACUCUGCUCUACAUCCUGCUGCAGUCCCCAUCUCAGACUCUGCCAAAAGGGCCCCUGUGCCCAGCAUUCACUGCUUGUCCCCAUCUCCCUAAACAUCCUUUCCCACCACACCGUCCCCUGCAGUUGCCGAGCUCUCUUUGUACCCUCCAUCCACUGUGCCUUUGCUGAUGCUGUCCCUUCUACCCCUAGAGCUCUCUCUCCACCCCUCCCCUCCCUCCAGGCCUAGCUGUGAAGUUGCCUCUUCCUGAGGUUCUCCCAGAUUCCUACAUCAGAACAGCUCUGCCUGCCCUGGGCACCGGAGCCAACCCUGAGCUCACCACUCUGCUGGAACACAUGUCUGCCCAGCAUGGCAUCCAGUUUAUUUAUGAGGCUGUCUGUCUGCCCCCCGUCCCAGGAGCCCCAGGGCAGGGCCCUGUCUGAUUCAUUGCCAGGCACAGGGUCUGGCCAGCAUCAGGGAGCAUGUGUUGAGCAGUACCGGUGAGAGCUGUCUCUGGGAGGAGGCAUUGUGGGGCUGGCUGGCAUGGAGCACAGGCCCAGGGCUGUGGAGUGGCGGGGCCAGGCCAAUGCCAGUGCUGCUGGAGAAGGCUGAGGGCCCUCCUUCCCAGGUUCCCUCAUCUUGCCCUCUCUCCUCCUCCCCUCUGUCACUGACUCAUUCACUCAGCAACUUCUCUUGCUCAUUCAUGCAUCUGCGUGCUCCGUCACAGACUCAUUCACUAAUAGGGGAGCUCAUCCAUUCAUUCACUUUUAUAUUUGUCCAUUCAUUCAUUCAUUUCUUCACUUACUCCUCUAUUCAUCCAACAAACUUUCCUGAGCUCUGAUAUUACACCCCACUCUGACCUCUAGAGAAGCCCUGGAGAUUCAGCGCUAAAGACCUUUUCUUCCGGAGUGGUGGUGAUGGGUGGUACACACGUAUAAAUGAACAACUGCAGUCAGAGUGAAAGGGGCUAUGAUUGAGGAAUACGUGAUGUGACAGCAGAGGAAUCUACACAGGCUUCAUGCAGGAGGUGGCAUUUGCAUAGGGCCUUGGAGAUUAAGAAGUCCCAAGCAAGGCCUAGAGAGGCUGGGCUCUGAGCUCCGGGAUGGGGAGGAGAUGGUUUCUAGAGGACUUAGGGACUGCUUGGCUGGGUGCCUGGGGAGAGAGAGGAAGGGACAAGAGUUGCGUUCAGCCCUCAUCCUCCAUCCAGAAAUCCCGAGCGCACAAAUACAUAUUCAGUGCCUGCUGUGUGCCAGACAGUGGCUGGGGAUACAAGAACAACACGGACAAAGCCCUGCCUUCAAAAAGCUUACAUUUGAGUGUGGGGAGGCAGAAAACUGAAAUAACUAAUAAAGGAUGUAAUGUCAGGUGGUGCUAAGUGCUUAAGAGCCGGAGAGCAGGGGAUGGCUUGCUAAGUAGCUUGUUCGUGGAGGGCCUCCUGACAAGGCAAUGCUCAUGAGCAAUGCAGUGUCUGGUGAGGGUGUCCAAGCAGUUUCCUGCUGGGAAUGUCUUCUGCUUGCCAAUUCAGUAUCAUACCAGCAGCCAGCAUUGGGCUGAGCACGGAGUGGCUGUGCAAGCCAGGGCAGUCCUGGCUGUGUUUUCCUCUGGGUCUCGGUCUGCCCAGUCCACCGGGCUGAAUCUUCAUCUGUGAACCCUCAUGCUCAGCACAGGGCCCGGCAUGUGUGGCCUCCCUGAGGACCAGGAAGCAACACAGGGGUCGAGGUGGGACUGUAAACCCUGGGCAGCUGCUGCCCAUCCAGGCAGGUGUCAGGGUUGGAUGGGGAGGCUCAGGGGGCCCAGAGGGUUCCGGGUGCCCUGGGGGAUGGGGCAUCUUGCAGUAGGAGCCCAGCCCUUCACUGGGGAGGGGAGCAUGGGGGAAACGGGGCAAAAUAGUCAGCCCUGCUUUUCAGGCCUGGCCUUCCAGACCCAUCCCUGCUCCCAGGAAAAGCAGCAGGGGCAGCCCCGAGGGCCCCCAUUCCAGUCUCUCUGAGAGUGGAGGUUCUGGAAGUGGGGCCCUUGAGGUACUCUCUGAGGAUCACACUGAGGCUUUUUCUGCUCCUGGAACCAAUGGCUCUGGAGAGGGACAGAGUCCAGGGACCAAGCCUAGAACUAGGCCCAGGGAGGAGAGGGAGCUGGGCAGGGGUGAGUAGAUCCUGUGGAGCCCCUCUCUCCCUAGCUCUUAACGUCUUUCUUCCUCCCCUUCCCCAAGCUCUGAGCCCAGCCUCUCCAGCUCUUACUUGCAGGUAUGGGUCAGCCCUGGGCUUUCUCCUGGCUAGUGGCAGAGGCUCCUUCCACCCACUCUGGGGCUCCUGGGCUCACCCAGCCUGGGGGAGUGUCAGAGACAGUCCUGCCUGCACUGCUUAGGACUAAUCUGAGAAUAGAAUCCUGAAGCCAUGGCCUUAGGGAGAGAUGGGGACCCUGGGACAGAGCAGAGCACACAGGGGCUCUGGGGUCUGGGGUGUGGCCUCUGGUCCCCAGCGUCUGCAGACCCCUCCAGAGAUGCUAAGGGGCCUCAGCUCUGACCAAGGAGAGCACACAGCACUGGAGGGGGUAGCGCCACUCCUGCAGGAGGAGCGUGAGCAGAGGUUGGAAAUUUGUGAGGACACUCAGACUUCAGAUGGGUGGGGUGCCUUCUGCCCUGAGACUCUGCGAUGGGAGAGGAGGAGGAUCCAGGCCUUGGCUCCCAGAGCCACAGCCCUGCCUCGGCCCCCAGGAAACAAUACUAAAGUCCUACAAAUCCCCAUGUGGCAAAGUUUUCGUUGAGGCUUUCCUGUGGCAAGGAGCGUUUACUCUUCUGGACCAGCUAGGAUCAGGCCAUUGUAAAUUGUUGAAAAUCUAUGUCUAAAUUUUAAAGAAAUAUUGUUGCUUCUUGAGUCAUUUCUUUGUCUAGCAGAUAGACUUCCUGCAGAGCAAACACCAAGGAACUCAGGAUGUUUUGGAUUACUUUUUAAUCCUUAGGAUUUUAAAUUACAAGUGUAAUUAAAACUUACACUGAACAGUCAAACAUUUUAGUCAUACACAACCUAGAAGGGGAAAUCUCUACCCCCACUCCCCUACAAAUUCUCUUCCCCAGAGAUGACCACUGUUAACAGCUUAGAAGUUCACCCAGACUUCUGUCUGAAUAUUAGUGUUAUGUGGAUAAUUGCUCUGACAUAGCAAUGCAUAUUUCCUCCCAUAGUUCUUGUAUGAGAUUUUCCUCCUAUUCAGCCAGAAGCAUCCAUUUGCUUCAGAGAGGAUUAAAAUAGAUAGACAGUGAUAUAAAGAGGACUAAUGAACAAGGCUCAGUUAAAAAUGAGAUUCAAAAGAGAAUCUCGAAGUCCAUAUGAGACAAAAGUCUUGAAAGCUGGCUUUGUUGAUUAACAUUUUGGUUAGGAUGCUUUGGCUGCAGGUAACAGUAAGUACAACACAAACUUGAUAAACAAUGAGAUACAUUGACUCAGGUCCCCAGACUCCAGAGACAGACUAGGCUUCAGAGCUGGCUUCAUCAGUGACGCUGGCCCAUCUCUCUAAAGUUCCCUUGGUGUACCUUGCUUUGUCUAAUGGCUUAAUCUGUGGGAUGGCAUCCCUUAGAAUUACCAUGUGGCUGGACAGUACAAUUAUUCUGAGGAAAGGGGAGCACAUCUGUUCUUAAAAGCAAGAAAACACUUUCCCCCAGGCUCCCAGCAACUCUCCCCUUGCAUCGUGGCUAGGGUCACAUGCCCAUUCCUGGAGCCAAGAGUGUGUCCUGCAGUGGGGCUUAGGCCUGAGUUUCUGGACCAAUCACCAUGGCAGAUGGGGUGGGAUUUCAUGGCACCAGUUAGAGCUGCCCUGGAACUGAAGUUGGGGUCAACUUUCCCUGAAGCUCAUUGGUGAUGUGAGGAUGGGCUGGAUUCCAGAUUAAAAACUGGGGCAUAUUCAAGAAGAAGGACAGGGAAAUCGAAGAAGGUAGAGAAUCAACAUCACCUACUGUAAGAGAGAGAAAGCAGAUUUCUCUGUUCCCAAAGCUUCCCUGUAGAUAUUCACAACAAAUCUUGGAGGACAGGACAUGGAGUUUUACCCUAAGCCACAGGUAGAGAGAAUUUAGGAGGUGAUGUAAGGGAAGUCUCUACCAGCUCAGGAGGAAGUAGGGAGUCCUUCCACCUUUCAGAGGAGCCACCAAGGAGUUGGAAAAAUGAGGCAAAAGUGACGUAAAGCAGCUGCCUGAAGACCCAGUGCCCCAUCCUUGCCUCUGAGCCCCAGCCAGGGGAGGGAUUGUGGGAAGAUAGAAAGCCCAGAUGGGGGCUUCUGCCCAUUUCUAGAACUCUAGAACUCUGUAGAGUGCUGUCUGGAAGGAUGCUUGGCCCAUGCCCACAGGAGACUAGAAAGGGCAAUGUGGGGUGUGUAUCCAUUUCCUGAGGGCUGCCGUGAUGAAUGACCACAGACUUGGUGGUCUGAGACCCAGGCGUCGGCCGGGCUGUGCUCUCUUCGAAGGCUCUGGAGGACAGUCUGUUCCCUGCCUCUUCCAGCUCCCCUGGUUGUCCUGUGGCUGCAUCACGACUCCAGUCUCUGCCUCCAUCUUCCCAUGGCCUUCUCCUCCAUCUCUGAGUCAUCACCUCUGUGCCAAGUCUCCCUCUGACUUUCUCUUCUAAGGGCACUUUUCAUUGGAUUUAGGGCUCACCUGGAUAAUCCAAAAUGAGCUCAUCUUGAGAGCCUUCAUUACCUGGGCAGAGACCCUUUUUCCAAAUCACAUUCACAAGUUCUGAGAGUUAGGAUGUGGACGUAUCUUUUUGUGGCCAACAUUCAACCUCCUACGGGGUAUUUAGGCAGAGAGAAGACCAGAGAUAGUGCCCCUAGACUAGCUUGUCUCCUGUGUGGUGUGGGAGGAAUGCCCCAAGGUCCAGUGUCUUGACAAUGGGGGGACACAGAAGGACACUGAGAGCUCUGGUAGGCUGCUUGUCUGUCAGGACCCUGGCAGGGUCACAAUGACCCUGAAGUCCCAGCCAGAUCACAGGGGAUUUGCCCUUGUGGAUCCCAAUCAGGCCAGCUGUGCUGGAGCUCUCAGUAGUCCUUGCCCAAGUCAGAACACACCCCAGGUUCCACUUGCUGCACUGGUAACAGCAGCUAGGACAGAAACCGACAGGAUGAGAUGCUCCAACAGGAAGAUGACUUGAGGCCUGGAGGCCCUUGCCUUGAUGCUAUGAAGACACCGAAGUUUCCAGCUUGCAGACCCCAUCUUAGGAGGGGGACUCCUUGUGAGGGGGAAACAGCUCUGAUGGGAACUGAAGUUUACAUCAACUGAAUCCCCCAAAGAGAAUGAGUUACCUUUCAUAGGUCAGUUUAAAAAAAAUUUUUUUUUUUAAUUUAGGGUCUCACUCUAGCACCCAGGCUGAAGUGCAGUGGUAUAACCUCGGCUCACUACAGCCUCAAGCUCCCGGGCUCAAGUGAUCCUCCAGCCUCAGGCCCCUGAGUAGCUGGGACUACGGAUCAGACGCAUGCCACUAUGCCAAGCGAUUCUCCUGCCUUAGCCUCCCAAGUAGCUGGGACUACAGGCACGCAUCACCACACCCAGCUAAUUUUUGUGUUUUUAAUACAGACGGAGUUUCACCAUGUUGGCCAGGAUGGUCUCUGUCUCUUGACCUCGUGAUCCGCCCGCCUUGGACUUCCAGAGUGCUGGGAUUACAGGCAUGAGCCACCACGCCCAGCCUUGUUUUUGUAUAUUUUGUAGAGACAGGUCUUACUAUGUUGCCCAGGUUUGUCUUGGAGCUCCACUCCAAGGUGGAGCUCAAGCGAUCCACCUGCCUCAGCCUCCCAAAGUGCUGGGAUUACAGAUGUGAGCCACCAUGCCCAGCCUUCAUGGGUUUCCCUAGGAUCACCAGCUGUCAUGGACUGAUUUGUGUCUCUCCAAAUUCAUAUGUUGAAUACUUAACCUGCCAUGCGAUUGUGAUUGGAGAUAAUUCCUUUAGGGAAGCAAUGAAGGUUAAAUGAGGUCAUAGGUGGGAGCUUAAUCCAAUGGGACUGGGGUCCCUACAAGAAGAGGAAGACACCAGAGCUCUCUGUCUCCACACACAGAGAAAAGAGGCUGUAUGAGGACACAAGAGAAGGUAAUAGCUGUCUACAAACCAAGAAGAGAAGCCUCUCCAGAAAAUGAACCCUGCUGGAACUUGGUCUUGGACUUUCCAGCCUCCAGAACUGGGAGAAAAUAAAGUUCAAAAUAAAGUUCUGUUGUGUAAGCCCCCGAGUCCAUGGUAUUUUGUUAUGGCAGCCCUAGCAGACUAAUAACACCUGCUAAUUAAACUGCUUGUUCUCCACUUGUUGUCUCAGGGUCUGUUCCUAGGGAACCUGGACUCAGACAGAUGCUCUGCUUAAUUAGACCCCAGGGAAAUGUAAAUGAAAACCACGUGUGAUGCCAUGUCACAAGUACUAGGAUAACCAGAAGGAAAUCUGACCACAUCGGAUGCUGGUGAGGUUGGGAAGCUGUCAUAUUUAGCUGACGGAGGUGUGAGUCGGCAAACCACUUUGGAAAAC
rnacentral:lncRNA from 1 species